ACGCUAGCUACAGGCUUAACACAUGCAAGUCGAGGGGAAACGGCAUUAAGUGCUUGCACUUUUUGGACGUCGACCGGCGCACGGGUGAGUAACGCGUAUCCAACCUUCCCAUGACUAAGGGAUAACCUGCCGAAAGGCAGACUAAUACCUUAUGGUCUUCACUGACGGCAUCAGAUGUGAAGUAAAGAUUUAUCGGUUAUGGAUGGGGAUGCGUCUGAUUAGCUUGUUGGCGGGGUAACGGCCCACCAAGGCAACGAUCAGUAGGGGUUCUGAGAGGAAGGUCCCCCACAUUGGAACUGAGACACGGUCCAAACUCCUACGGGAGGCAGCAGUGAGGAAUAUUGGUCAAUGGGCGAGAGCCUGAACCAGCCAAGUAGCGUGCAGGAUGACGGCCCUAUGGGUUGUAAACUGCUUUUGUAUGGGGAUAAAGUCAAUCACGUGUGAUUGUUUGCAGGUACCAUACGAAUAAGGACCGGCUAAUUCCGUGCCAGCAGCCGCGGUAAUACGGAAGGUCCGGGCGUUAUCCGGAUUUAUUGGGUUUAAAGGGAGCGUAGGCUGGAGAUUAAGUGUGUUGUGAAAUGUAGACGCUCAACGUCUGACUUGCAGCGCAUACUGGUUUCCUUGAGUACGCACAACGUUGGCGGAAUUCGUCGUGUAGCGGUGAAAUGCUUAGAUAUGACGAAGAACUCCGAUUGCGAAGGCAGCUGACGGGAGCGCAACUGACGCUGAAGCUCGAAGGUGCGGGUAUCGAACAGGAUUAGAUACCCUGGUAGUCCGCAUAGUAAACGAUGGAUGCCCGCUGUUGGUACCUGGUAUCAGCGGCUAAGCGAAAGCAUUAAGCAUCCCACCUGGGGAGUACGCCGGCAACGGUGAAACUCAAAGGAAUUGACGGGGGCCCGCACAAGCGGAGGAAC
rnacentral:rRNA from 1 species